GAUGAACGCUGGCGGCGUGCUUAACACAUGCAAGUCGAACGGGAAUUACUUUAUUGAAACUUCGGUCGAUUUAAUUUAAUUCUAGUGGCGGACGGGUGAGUAACGCGUGGGUAACCUGCCUUGUACAGGGGGAUAACAGUCAGAAAUGACUGCUAAUACCGCAUAAGCGCACAGGACCGCAUGGUCCGGUGUGAAAAACUCCGGUGGUAUAAGAUGGACCCGCGUUGGAUUAGCUAGUUGGCAGGGUAACGGCCUACCAAGGCGACGAUCCAUAGCCGGCCUGAGAGGGUGAACGGCCACAUUGGGACUGAGACACGGCCCAGACUCCUACGGGAGGCAGCAGUGGGGAAUAUUGCACAAUGGGGGAAACCCUGAUGCAGCGACGCCGCGUGAAGGAAGAAGUAUCUCGGUAUGUAAACUUCUAUCAGCAGGGAAGAAAAUGACGGUACCUGACUA
rnacentral:rRNA from 1 species